GUAUUUAAAAAAUAGCAUGAAAUUAAAAAAAAAAACUGCUAUCAUAUCAGUAUAGUAAAAAAGUAGCUUAUUCUGAUCAAGAUUGUUUAAAAAGGAUCCUACCACAAACAACAGAACAUACAGGAUUAUUGACAGCUUUUUCCCUGCCUGAAAGUAAGCCUUGUCCAGGCCAUCUCCACUAUCUCCAAAUUCUUAUUGGAGGAGCAGUGUGGGGAGGGGAGAGCAAAAAGAAAAAAUAAGGUGAAAAGAUUUCUAAGAAAUAAAACGUCAACAUACUGCAAAUAUUAGAGAGAUUCCCUAAAAUCUAAAAACAAAUACAUCUGCUAAUGGGUUUAACCAGAUUGAUGGAAAGCUCAAUAUUUUUGAAAUCCACUAGAUUUCCAUACACCAGCAAAAAACAAAUAGAAAAUAUUAAAGGUCAAUAGGCAGAGUAGAAAGCAAAUACUGACAGGAGAAAAAGGGAAAAAUCAUUCAAUCAUGUGAUGUCUUUCAGCAUUCUUCUGAUCAAUUUAUUUUUUGACAGGCAGAGUGGACAGUGAGAGAGAGAGACAGAGAGAAAGGUCUUCCUUUGUUUCCGUUGGUUCACCCUCCAAUGGCCGCUGCAUCUUCUGAUCAAUAUUAAAAAGUAACACAAACGACCCAACAGGAAAAUGAGUCACAAUAUGAAGAAAAUAAAGCCCAGAGGCCGAUGCACAGAACUGUGACUCACUGAAGCAGUUACUGCACCGAGAGCUCCAGCAGGGACCCAUCAGGGAGGACAGGGCCACAGGAGGGACCUGGCGGGUGCAGGAGCAGAGGGGAGAGGCCUCCCGCCUGGGGAGGUGGAGUCCGACCUGCACCCAGGCCUCGCCUCCUGCUGCUCCCACCCAGCACAACCUGAAGUCAGGGGCCCAUUGCCCUGCAGGAUGUUGAUAGGAUGCAUCCGUUGCGAGGUUGUGUGUGCUCACGGCCAUGCACGCUGUCCAAUCAGGCACGACGACGUCCACGCCGCGUCAUCACGCGGGAUCUUGACGUCACAGUCAUCUUACAGUUCUGGGCAGGAGCGAGGUGCUAGGAGAUGGCUCCACUACCCCGAUGCUCCCGAAGUAAGUCGGGCUCCGUGGCCUCCACCUUCAUCACCGGGGGACGCUGGACACCUGGAGCUGAAAACCGCGACGUGAACACAUGCAGUGACUUUAAACUUCCUUUACCAAAACAAGUUAGCACUUGGGGAGAAAAUGCCCCCUAGUAAGCCCUGCAGUGGAGGCCAAGAUGGAAACACCUGCAGAGUCAGCCUGACAUUUCCGUUGGUCCUGUGAUGCACAGGCAGGAAAGUGACUCCACAAAUGCAAGAUACCACCAUGCUGAAUGUUAGGAACUUGGUUCCAUUAAAUGUAACAGGGAGGUCCCUGACUGGAACACAGGCCAUUGCUUACUUCCUCUGGUGUACAUAACCAGGGCCCUGGGUCAGCAGUGGAGAAUAAUUGAGACUUGAAUCAGGCACUCUGAUAUGAGAUGAGGUCAUCAAAUGGUGGGUAAAUCCACUGCACCACAACACUGCCUCAGGCAUCCUUACUCUAACUUGGUAAGAGCUGCUACGAUCUCUUUGUUGCGUUUGCUGAAAUUUCUUUUCCAUUUUUAAUGUAAUUGUAAUCAUCUGCUUUUCAUCCACUUUGCCUGUAUUCACUCAUUUUGUCAUUGUUUCUUCCAAAAAUUAUCCAUUUUUAUGGUAAUAACUAGUUUUUCACAACAGAUGAAUGCCUUUUUAAUUCUUUAUACUUUUCUUUGAAAGUAUAGCUAUCAGCAGUGCAUAUUUGUAAUAUCUUAGUCCGGGUCAACCCUAGUACUCUUAACCUUUUACCAGAUUGCUUAACUUUAAUUGUGAAGACAAACUAUCUCAAAUUUCUAUAAGUCUUCUGGAAACUGUCACAUAUAGUUUCUCAGGCAUUGUUACUCCUACUGUAAUUAUUCACCCUUUCUAGAUAACAUAUUUUUUACUUUUUUGGAUGUUCGUGAACAAUAACAAAGUUCUUUAUCUGCUUUUCAUACCAUUAUUCAUUUCUUUUCACAUCAGUCACAGCAUACAUUAUUACAUGACAUGUACAUGUCUUUUCAUUGCCUUUGCAUCUAAUGCUAUACCAUGUAUAGUUCACUAAGAUCCAAGUAAGCCAAUGGUGAUAAUAUGAGCUGUGGCAAUCUUGCUUAGCCUUUUGCUUGUGGUAUCACAAAAUUGCUCAGAGUUCUGUAAAUUCUGUAUACAAAUUUUCAGAAUGUUUGCCAUGGUAUUCUCCUGUUCCACAUGUCAAUUUACAUUUUCCUGAAUUUUGCCAUUGAUGUGAGAAAUUUUCCAUCAUAUAUUUCUAGAAACUGGUACCUUUCCUAUAAUAUUUUGGGUAAAGUACAGUUAUCUCUUCAUCACUUAAGACACUCAAUUUACAAAUACUUUUAAAUUGUUUGAAAUGGAUUCUUUUUCACCAAAUUCCCUUAUAUUUGGUAUUGAUUUUAUUGGAACUCUUACUGAGUUAUUUACUUUUACCUACAGUGUUAGUGGUAUAUUUUAUAUUGUAAGCAUCCUUUCUGGUUUUGUGAUUGCAGUUAUUGAUAUAUGUGUGUAUAUAUAUAUAUAGGUUUUUUGUUUAAAGAUUUAUUUCAUUUAUUUGAAAGAGUUACAGAAAGACAUAGAGACAGACAGAGAGAGACAGAGACAGAGACAGAGACAGGGACAGAGUAAGAAAUAUCUUUCAUCCACUGGUUCCCACCCCAAAUGGCUGCAAUGCCUGGAGCUCAGCCUAUCCAAAGCCAGUAGCCAGUAGCUUCUGCUAGUUCUCCCAUGUGGGUGCAAGAGCUCAAGGACUUGGGCCAUCCUUCACUGCUUUCCCCAGUCACAUUAACAGCGAGAAAGAUUGGAAGUAGAAAAGGUUGGUCUUGAAUUGGCACAGUAUGGGGUGCCAGCACUGCAGACCAGGGCCUUAACCUGUUGUGCCACAGCGACAGUGCCAGGUAUAUGUUUACUUAAUAUCCUUGUUUAAGUAAAUCCUUGUACUAUGACAUUCUUGCUUGACUUUCUUUCACAGUGAUGUCAUCAGAUCCCUCAAAAUUCUGUAAGUUUUGCUGGUCAUAUUAAUGUAUAGUCUCUCUGAACUCUGUUAGGAUAAACUUAAUCUUACACACUUUAAAAUCACACAUUUUUAAACUAUCUUAAUUUUUAUAACUCCAAAGUUAUCGUUCACUGAAUUUUCUUUGUCAGAAUUGUAGGUAUACUUUGUCAGAAUUUUUCUAGUAGGAAUGAGUUUUAUAUACAUUGAUUUUUACUUCUCACUUUAUGUAAUUACAAUUAAAUAUUUUUCACUAAAUUCCUUUAUUUUUGCAUUUUAUAGAAUUUAGCACAUGUAAACUGAUGUUAGAAAUUCUCUGUAGUCUAUAUAUCUUUAGAUACUUGGAUAAUUCCUUUAAGAUUAUUAUCUAAAGUGGCUUGAUUAAAGAUAUUAGGAUUCUUUUAGUAUUCGUUUUAAAGGUAAUAGAAUAUUUUACACCAAAUUCUCAACUAUGGAUUUCAAUCUCUAUCAAAUAAAAUAUUGUAACAUGAACA
rnacentral:lncRNA from 1 species